AGGGUAUAGACCCGAAACCCGGUGAUCUAGCCAUGGGCAGGUUGAAGGUUGGGUAACACUAACUGGAGGACCGAACCGACUAAUGUUGAAAAAUUAGCGGAUGACUUGUGGCUGGGGGUGAAAGGCCAAUCAAACCGGGAGAUAGCUGGUUCUCCCCGAAAGCUAUUUAGGUAGCGCCUCGUGAAUUCAUCUCCGGGGGUAGAGCACUGUUUCGGCAAGGGGGUCAUCCCGACUUACCAACCCGAUGCAAACUGCGAAUACCGGAGAAUGUUAUCACGGGAGACACACGGCGGGUGCUAACGUCCGUCGUGAAGAGGGAAACAACCCAGACCGCCAGCUAAGGUCCCAAAGUCAUGGUUAAGUGGGAAACGAUGUGGGAAGGCCCAGACAGCCAGGAUGUUGGCUUAGAAGCAGCCAUCAUUUAAAGAAAGCGUAAUAGCUCACUGGUCGAGUCGGCCUGCGCGGAAGAUGUAACGGGGCUAAACCAUGCACCGAAGCUGCGGCAGCGACGCUUAUGCGUUGUUGGGUAGGGGAGCGUUCUGUAAGCCUGCGAAGGUGUGCUGUGAGG
rnacentral:rRNA from 1 species